UAUGUUUGGGUUAUGUUCCUACGGAUUACAACCAAAACAAAAGCAGAAAUGGGCUGCAAAGUAUGCCUAAAAAAGACAUAUCCUAAAAGCAAAACGGAAGAUGAAAAAACAAAAGUAAUAAAUAAAAGAAUAAUAAAUAAAACCCAGUCAAAUCUAACAGCUGGACGCAAUUAAAUCCCACUUUUCCAUACUGAAUCGUCACAUCUGUUCUGAGGAUAACAGUUUCCCAAAAGAUUUUCUUCCAUCUGUUAUCAUUUUCAAAUCUCUUUUCUUUUGAAAACCCUUUAACCCGGGUUCCUUGCCCAUUCCUCUUGCAGAAGUUCUUCAUUGCAGAUCCUCUCGGUUCCGACCAGAAACGGAGAUGAAAUAUUGGAGUGGAGGGUUGUUUUCAAGGCUCUUAACUCUCCCCGCCAGUCUCGUACAAUAACUCCCGACGCCGAUCUAUACCUGUUAGUAUCAAAAGCUGCAUCAAAGUGUAUUGUGUCCUGUGUUCUCGCUUCCCAAUGUCUCUGAAUUUCAACAGUCUUCAAGGUACGUUUUUACAUUCCCACUGUUUCAAUCUCAGCUAAAUAAGCCUUUAUUCUGUGAACAAGAUCCCUUCCUGAUACAAUCUUCCUCUCAUGCACCAAUUGAUUUCGUGAGUUCCAUAUUGCCCAUAAGGCGCAACAAAACACCUUACACUGCUCAUUGGUUCCUUUUUCGAAGACCCAAGACAUUGCAAAAAUACGUGGAAACUGUUUUCUUCCCCUGAACCACAUCGAGGACAUCUCACGCUUGUGGUUAAACGUUUGCAACGUAGAUUGACUAAUGUAGGAAUGUAGUUCCAAGAAAUCCUCCAGAUCAAGAGUAGAAUUUUUGAUGGAAGUUGUAAUUGCCAUAAUUUUCUGUAGAAAUCUUUGAAUUCGGUCUGUACUAUAUUAUUAGGGUCCAGAUUAGCAUCUUGUAAUAGUUUGUAAGCACUCCGUACUGAGAAUUCUCCAGACGGUUCACCUUUCCAAACGAGCAAAUCUUCACUAUCUGUAGUUGCAAGUGGGAUCUGUAAUAUUCUUUGCGCAAUGUCCAGUUGAAAGGUUCGAUCCCCGGGAUCCACCGGUCAUUCCAAAUAGAAAUUUUGUUUCCUUUCCCAACUCUCCAACACAGGCCUUGAGUGAGAAGUCCCUUUGCAGCCCAGAUAUUCUUCCAGGUAAGGGAAGGUAAAUUCCCCAACUCUGCACUUAGAAAAUUCGAAUUUGGAUAAUACUUUGCUUUAAGAACCCUGGCUAAAAGCGAAUUCGGUUAAUUAAAAAGACGCCACCCCUGUUUGGCAAGCAAUGCAAUAUUGAAUUGACUGAGAUUACGAAAGCCUAAACCUCCAUUCUCUUUUAAACUGCAUAAAUUCUUCCACGAGCUCCAAUGAAUUCCCCCUUUUCCCUGACCUUUUUUCCACCAAAAUCUCGCGAUAAUUCCUUCCAUUUCGUCACAUAAGGAUUUCGGAAGUAAGAAGCAAGCCAUUGAGUAAGUCGGAAUAGCUUGCAAAACAGCUUUGAUAAACACUUCUUUUCCACCAUGCGAUAAAAAUCUCAUACUCCAAUUGUCAAUUCGUUGUUUUAUUUUGUCUUUCAAUGCUUGAAAGGAAACCUUCUUUUGUCGUCC